ACUCCGAGUUAAUAGUUACAACAAUCUCUUAACAAUAAAUAAGACAAUAAAUAGACUUUUAGGAAUUGGGCGUGGCAUCGCCCAGUUUAUGACUACAAGCUAUAUCUCGGUAACCACUAUGUCGAUUUCUACCAAACUUGGUUCAACUAAGUCCAACUCAGCAUUUUAUCGAAAACGUUUGAAAUCGGAAAAAAUACCCCUACUUAUCAUUCAAAGGUAGUUUAGAGAAAGUUGAACGACGAUUUUUAAUACCUGCGCCGGGUAUACAAAGUUCUGUUUCGCCCAAACUUAUACUUAUAAUACUCUUUACUUGUUUUAAUUAAAACUUUCAAAAAUACUAAAAAGCUUUUAUUUAACAUAGGGGGCUGGCCAUAAUGACGUAGAACUGCAUUCACAAUACUUUGAGAGACUAAAAAAGUUUCUAUCUGUCGAGUUGGUAAAAUGACAAUUAAAGAAUCAACAUGAUGUUGUCCCUACUAAUUCAUUGGCAGUAGGAUCUUCUGUUGAAGUGCCGGCGACGUCAUCCUUAGCGAUUAAAAGAAACGUAGAAGAGGUCAAUAAAUCUAUUUCGUCGCCUAUAAACGGGCCAAUAAACAAUUCAAAAGACGACAUAGAAGCAUCAACUUCAAGUUCAGUAUCAACUAAAGCAUCAAUAGAAAAAUUCCUCUAGCAAAAAACAAUGGGUUCUUGUAUGUUACUCAGCAUUGAUUGCAAAGCUCAAAGCAUACCAACCGUUUUUAGAGCAUUCAUUAACUUCAUUGCAGUUAUCAGAGAGAGAUGAGAACCUAAAAGACAAACGUCGUCUUCCCAAUUAUAAAAAUAUGACGUGUAAUAGAUAAUGUUAUCGUUAAAAGAAAAUUUUUUGGCUGGGAGUGGUCCUAAACAUCUACCAUUCUUAAUAAUUA